rnacentral:rRNA from 1 species
CUACGGGCGGCACCAGUCGAGGAAUUUUUACAAUGCGCGCAAGCGUGAUAGAGCGAGCCAGAGUGCUUUCCUAUAAUUGGAAAGCUUUUGUGAGAUGUAAAUAGUCUCACGAAUAAGGACCGGGCAAGACUGGUGCCAGCCGCCGCGGUAAUACCAGCGGUCCAAGUCGCAGCCACGUUUAUUGGGUCUAAAACAUCCGUAGCUUGUUCAGUAAGUCUUUUGUUAAAUCUGGCCUCUUAAGGGUCAGGCAGGCAUAAGAUACUGCUGGGCUAGAGACCGGGAGACGUAAGAAGUAUAGUUUGGGUAGCGGUUAAAUGCGUUGAUCCUUUCUAGACUAACAAUAGCGAAGGCAUCUUACGAGAACGGAUCUGACUGUGAGGGAUGAAGGCUAGGGUCGCAAAACGGAUUAGAUACCCCAGUAGUC